UUUUAUAUCCAGAAAUGACCAAAGAAAGAAUCAACUUUGAUAUGAAGGCAUGAGCUUUUGUUCUUGAUAAGGAACAACCAAGAACCAUAAAAUAUUGUGAAUUUUUCCAAUAUAUAUAUAUGUUCAGUAAUAUAAUAAUGAUAAGGUUGAUUCAGAUCACAGAAGCACAUCUCUAUAUGUCUACAUAAGAAUCAUAAGAAGCGGGACACGUGUUGAAGAAAACCUGGUUAUGUUUGUUUGUCAUUUGUUCCUUGUCGUCAUUAUCUGAUGAAACUGUCUAUAAACCAAGAUCGCUGGUGUUUCUAUGGAAAAUUUAGAUUAUGAAAAUGGAAUUUUCAUUUACGUGAUAGUGAAAUCUGUGCUCAAGUAAUCGAUUGAGUUGGAGCUGAGUUUAAUAGAAGAUUUCAAAGCCCAAAUGUAUAGCAGUGAUAACCAAACUCUGAUGUCCCCAUGCAGAAGCUUGCCCAUGUGAUACCGUUGAGGAAAAAGCACUAUAUUAUGAAAUCAACCCUAUGAUAAAAAAAACUAAUAUUCGAAUUUGGAGAAUUUCUUAACCAGGACCUGUAGAAAAAGCUCCAAGGAAACAUGUAUAUAGAAAAAAGUUAACGAAAUACUUAUAGUUUCAAUUCACGGCUCCAAGGGUGGUCAACCGUAAAAAUGUAUGGUAGUCAUAGAAGUCUAUAUUACAGUUGCCGCAAUUUUAUAAUUGAAUCACAUAUAAAAGAGUUAUUCAACUCUUGUAGGAACGAUAUUUCAGUUUGACUACAUUUCUUGAUUAUUAAACUAAACCUGAAACCCCUAUUGAAAUUAGAUUAGUUUUAGUUUCAAGUAAUUGAGUAGGCAAUGUUAAUGUAAAUAAACUGUACCUCUCACUGUGAACUCUGUCUUCUAAUUGUUUUGUAAUCAUUAAAUUAUGAAUAAAUUGUUAA